rnacentral:rRNA from 1 species
UACGAAGGGGGCUAGCGUUGCUCGGAAUGACUGGGCGUAAAGGGCGCGUAGGCGGAUUGCUUUGUCGGGCGUGAAAUUCCAGGGCUUAACCUUGGGGCUGCGUUCGAGACGGGUGAUCUUGAGUUCGGAAGAGGGUCGUGGAAUUCCCAGUGUAGAGGUGAAAUUCGUAGAUAUUGGGAAGAACACCGGUGGCGAAGGCGGCGACCUGGGCCGAGACUGACGCUGAGGCGCGAAAGCGUGGGGAGCAAACAGG